UACAUGGGGUGCAAACGUUGCUCGGAAUUAUUGGGCGUAAAGCGCACGUAGGCGGUUCGUUAAGUCGGAUGUGAAAGCCCUCGGCUCAACUGAGGAAGUGCACCCGAAACUGGCGAGCUUGAGUACGAAAGAGGAUCGCGGAAUUCCCGGUGUAGAGGUGAAAUUCGUAGAUAGUUCGGAGGAACACCAGUGGCGAAGGCGGCUCACUGGCUCGGUACUGACGCUGAGGUGGCGAAAGCGUGGGGAGCAAACAGG
rnacentral:rRNA from 1 species